GGGGGAUAUUGCGCAAUGGGGGCAACCCUGACGCAGCAACGCCGCGUGAAGGAUGAAGGUUUUCGGAUUGUAAACUUCUUUUAUUAAGGACGAAACUUGACGGUACUUAAUGAAUAAGCUCCGGCUAACUACGUGCCAGCAGCCGCGGUAAUACGUAGGGAGCAAGCGUUGUCCGGAUUUACUGGGUGUAAAGGGUGCGUAGGCGGCUUUGCAAGUCAGAUGUGAAAUCUAUGGGCUCAACCCAUAAACUGCAUUUGAAACUGUAGAGCUUGAGUGAAGUAGAGGCAGGCGGAAUUCCCCGUGUAGCGGUGAAAUGCGUAGAGAUGGGGAGGAACACCAGUGGCGAAGGCGGCCUGCUGGGCUUUAACUGACGCUGAGGCACGAAAGCGUGGGUAGCAAACAGGAUUAGAUACCCUGGUAGUCCACGCUGUAAACGAUGAUUACUAGGUGUGGGGGGUCUGACCCCUUCCGUGCCGGAGUUAACACAAUAAGUAAUCCACCUGGGGAGUACGGCCGCAAGGUUGAAACUCAAAGGAAUUGACGGGGGCCCGCACAAGCAGUGGAGUAUGUGGUUUAAUUCGAAGCAACGCGAAGAACCUUACCAGGUCUUGACAUCCAACUAACGAAGUAGAGAUACAUUAGGUGCCCUUCGGGGAAAGUUGAGACAGGUGGUGCAUGGUUGUCGUCAGCUCGUGUCGUGAGAUGUUGGGUUAAGUCCCGCAACGAGCGCAACCCUUGCUAUUAGUUGCUACGCAAGAGCACUCUAAUAGGACUGCCGUUGACAAAACGGAGGAAGGUGGGGACGACGUCAAAUCAUCAUGCCCCUUAUGACCUGGGCUACACACGUACUACAAUGGAUGUUAACAGAGGGAAGCAAGACAGCGAUGUGGAGCAAACCCCUAAAAACAUUCUCAGUUCAGAUUGCAGGCUGCAACCCGCCUGCAUGAAGAUGGAAUCGCUAGUAAUCGCAGAUCAGAAUGCUGCGGUGAAUACGUUCCCG
rnacentral:rRNA from 1 species